ensembl:lncRNA
GAACAUUUGCAGGCUGUCGUGCAAAUCUGCAUUUGAGCUACUUUCACAUUAUGAUCUUAGUGAAUUCUUGACCAGAUGGACUUGAACAGCUGCCACCCAUGCCUGGACCACACAAUAUUUAUAUGGUUUAAAUUCUGGCCCAUCUACUGGCAGACUGUUCACUUCUGUUACUGUCAUGGCAAGUGAUGCAGGAAGAGAAACAUUGCUGAUCUGUGAAAUUGGACAAUACAUUAAAUCUGUCUUGGUAUUUAAGCCACAAACCCAGCUUCUGAACUUUGUGGCAUUAGGUUCUGCUGGUUAUCUAUUGGACUCUGACCUUACCCAUGAUGUCUUAACUGUUGCUCAGCCUUCCCACAUUCUCUCACCUGUACUACAUCUUGCAAGAUUCUACAAAAUUUCUGAGAUAAAAGAACAAGAUGACACAGGGAGGCAAGGAAACUGGCGAAUGUUGAUUUUAUGUCAUGUGCCAAGAAAGGUGUGA